CCUACGGGUGGCAGCAGUGAGGAAUAUUGGUCAAUGGCCGAGAGGCUGAACCAGCCAAGUCGCGUGAGGGAAGACGGCCCUACGGGUUGUAAACCUCUUUUGUCGGGGAGCAAAGAGAGUCACGUGUGACUCAUUGAGAGUACCCGAAGAAAAAGCAUCGGCUAACUCCGUGCCAGCAGCCGCGGUAAUACGGAGGAUGCGAGCGUUAUCCGGAUUUUUUGGGUUUAAAGGGUGCGCAGGCGGAGGUGCAAGUCAGCGGUAAAAUUGCGGGGCUCAACCCCGGACGGCCGUUGAAACUGCAUCCCUUGGGGGGGCGAGAAGUAGGCGGAAGGCGGGGUGUAGCGGGGAAUGGCA
rnacentral:rRNA from 1 species